rnacentral:lncRNA from 1 species
UAACAAAUAAUAACUGUGUGUGUUUAUUGGGUAUAAUGUGGUGAUUUGAUCUAUGUAUACAUUAUAAAAAGGUUCAGUCAAGUUAAUUAACAUAUCCAUCAACUCACCAACUUAUCACUUUGUGGUGAAGAGAAUGUUAAAAAUCUAUUUUUUUUAGCAAUUUUGAAAUACACAAUACAUUAUUUUAAGCUGCGCAGUGCAAUAGAUCACUAAAACAUAUUCCUGCU